rnacentral:rRNA from 1 species
AUUGAACGCUGGCGGCAGGCCUAACACAUGCAAGUCGAACGAGUUUCGGACUUGUGCGUAAUGUCCGGGAAUCUGCCUGAUGGAGGGGGCUAACUACUGGAAACGGUAGCUAAUACCGCAUACCAUCGGAUGUGUCCAGAUGGGAUUGGCUAGUAGGUGGGGUAACGGCUCACCGAGGCGACGAUCUCUAGCUGGUCUGAGAGGAUGACCAGGCACACUGAGACUGAGGCACGGUCCAGACGCCUACGGUAGGCAGCAGUGGGGAAGAUUGCGAGAUGGGCGCAAGCCUGAUAGAGCCAUGCCGCGUGUAUGAGGAAGGCCUUCGGGUUGUAGAGUACUUUCAGCGGGGAGGCUUUACCCGCAGAAGAAGCACCGGCUAACUCCGUGCCAGCCGCCGCGGUAAUAC